rnacentral:sRNA from 1 species
GUCCUAAACCCUUCGGUUCAUACCGCCGGGCAUGGCAUAAAGACCCGAUGAAGAUACUGAACCCCGCGUUCAGCAACUCUUUGAUGGGCCAUAUCGGGAAACCGGUAUGGGGUCGCAAGACCU